AACGAGCAUAUGUUUAUUAUUAUUUUUUUUUUAGCAUACGAGAACGAUUUGAAAACAUGAAAGAUUCUUCGCUGAACACUGAAGCAACCAGACCACGGUAUAAAGUUAACCGUUUUGUGUAAUGAUUCAAAGCGCAGUCAACUUGUUAAUCAAUCAUCUUUUGGAAUAUAUUGUAGUAAAUAUUGGUGAUGAAGUAAGUCCAGCGAUUUUAAUUCAAUAUUUAAAACAGUUACCGAUCAAUAAACAAAAAUUGUAUGCAAAUAAAA